CCGAUGACUCGGGGAUAGCCUUUCGAAAGAAAGAUUAAUACCCGAUGGCAUAGUUCUUCCGCAUGGUAGAACUAUUAAAGAAUUUCGGUCAUCGAUGGGGAUGCGUUCCAUUAGGUUGUUGGCGGGGUAACGGCCCACCAAGCCUUCGAUGGAUAGGGGUUCUGAGAGGAAGGUCCCCCACAUUGGAACUGAGACACGGUCCAAACUCCUACGGGAGGCAGCAGUGAGGAAUAUUGGUCAAUGGACGAGAGUCUGAACCAGCCAAGUAGCGUGAAGGAUGACUGCCCUAUGGGUUGUAAACUUCUUUUAUACGGGAAUAAAGUGAGGCACGUGUGCCUUUUUGUAUGUACCGUAUGAAUAAGGAUCGGCUAACUCCGUGCCAGCAGCCGCGGUAAUACGGAGGAUCCGAGCGUUAUCCGGAUUUAUUGGGUUUAAAGGGAGCGUAGGCGGACGCUUAAGUCAGUUGUGAAAGUUUGCGGCUCAACCGUAAAAUUGCAGUUGAUACUGGGUGUCUUGAGUACAGUAGAGGCAGGCGGAAUUCGUGGUGUAGCGGUGAAAUGCUUAGAUAUCACGAAGAACUCCGAUUGCGAAGGCAGCCUGCUGGACUGUAACUGACGCUGAUGCCCGAAAGUGUGGGUAUCAAACAGGAUUAGAUACCCUGGUAGUCCACACAGUAAACGAAGAAUACUCGCUGUUUGCGAUAUACAGUAAGCGGCC
rnacentral:rRNA from 1 species